rnacentral:rRNA from 1 species
AUUGAACGCUGGCGGCAUGCCUUACACAUGCAAGUCGAACGGCAGCACGGGUGCUUGCACCUGGUGGCGAGUGGCGAACGGGUGAGUAAUACAUCGGAACAUGUCCUGUAGUGGGGGAUAGCCCGGCGAAAGCCGGAUUAAUACCGCAUACGAUCCACGGAUGAAAGCGGGGGACCUUCGGGCCUCGCGCUAUAGGGUUGGCCGAUGGCUGAUUAGCUAGUUGGUGGGGUAAAGGCCUACCAAGGCGACGAUCAGUAGCUGGUCUGAGAGGACGACCAGCCACACUGGGACUGAGACACGGCCCAGACUCCUACGGGAGGCAGCAGUGGGGAAUUUUGGACAAUGGGCGAAAGCCUGAUCCAGCAAUGCCGCGGGUGUGAAGAAGGCCUUCGGGUUGUAAAGCACUUUUGUCCGGAAAGAAAUCCUUGGCUCUAAUACAGUCGGGGGAGGACGGUACCGGAAGAAUAAGCACCGGCUAACUACGU